ACGAACGCUGGCGGCGUGCUUAACACAUGCAAGUCGAACGGAAAGGCCUGCUUUCCCUUGUGGAUUGCGGGUACUCGAGUGGCGAACGGGUGAGUAACACGUGAGUGAUCUGCCCCCAACUUGGGUAUAAGCCUGGGAAACUGGGUCUAAUUCCCGAUAGGACUGCAGGGUGGUGCCUGUGGUGGAAAACGAUUUUCUAGUGGUUGGGGAUGAGCUCGCGGCCUAUCAGCUUGUUGGUGGGGUAAUGGCCUACCAAGGCGGCGACGGGUAGCCGGCCUGAGAUGGUGGACGGCCACAUUGGGACUGAGAUCCGGCCCAGACUCCUCCGGGCGGCAGCAGUGGGGAAUAUUGCACAAUGGGCGGAAGCCUGAUGCAGCGACGCCGCGUGGGGGAUGGCGGCCUUCGGGUUGUAAACUCCUUUCGACCGCGAGGAAGCCACCUGGUUGGAAGGGUGGUGACGGUAGUGGUAGAAGAAGCACCGGCUAACUACGUG
rnacentral:rRNA from 1 species